rnacentral:tRNA from 1 species
AGUUCCUUAGUGUAGUGGUUAUCACGUCUCCUUUACAUUUCCUUAUGAGGAAAGAGGCACGGAGAAGGCCGUGGGUUCAAUCCCCACAGGAACUA